UAAUCCUCUUUAAUUAAGGUUUGACCUUAAUUCCAAUUGUGUUGGACUUUGAAAUUAUAAAAAACUUUAGAAAUUAUCAGAGUCUGUGAAUACAGUCUAUGUGUUCAACUUAAGUAAAGAUCUUUGUUUUACCUUAAGGCAGGUGCCAACCUUCUGCUUUAGAAUAAGACAGGUCAGAGAGAAUAAUUUUCCUGCCAUUCUCCAAUACUAUCUCUCUAUUCUCAACAUCCUGAUCUAAGUUCUGCCAGCUUGCUUCCGGUCGCGUGCAGGUUAAACAAACAGGAAUAUGGUGGCUGACUCAAAGUCCUGGAGGUGGCUGGGAUGAUGGGCAGGUACAAACAGCCAGGCUGUCCUGGGAGAAGGAGGAGUAGUUGCCUAAAGAGUAAAUUUCUCAAGGCCUCUGAUAGCUGAGUGGAAUGACUACUAUGUGGCAUGAAGAAAUAGGCAUGUUACAUUUUCCAUCUGUUGAUUUGCAAGUCAUCACUGAAAUGGGGAAUCUAAUUUCACUGGAAGAUGUUCUGAGACUUCAAUACUAUGAAACGGAUAUAUGUGUUAUCAUGGGACUUCUACCAUGGCCCCAAGGCAGAUUUCUGAAAGGUUUCUAUUGCAUAUUCUACUCUUGCUUCAGGUUUGGAAUUCCUAGGAAUCUGCACACUUGAUCACAGAAGACCCUUUGCCCUAAAUGUUGUGUUUCUGAAUUCAAGUAAAUAAUGGUUAAAGGAGACUAAAAUUGAAAGUUAAUUUAAUUCAAUACAACAGCAGACUAUAUAGACUGUCAAAUUUCUCUGUCACUGUUGCAAUGUUUUACUCAAGCUGAACCACGUGCAUUUGAGACACAGAUUUAUGUCAAUUAAAAUUUAUUCCAAAACAGGUGUGAGAAACACCAAGGGAAGAUUAAAUAAAUGUGCAAGUAAGUUUCUAGGUGUUCUUGUUGGGAUCCCUUUGGUCUCUCUCUCCCUUUCUCUCUUUUUCUUUCAUUUUCUUUCUUGCUCUUGCUCCCUUCUCUAGAUCUGUGCUGAUUGCUUAAUUGCAAUAUCAAGCAGAAACUCAAGGAACUGGAAAUUGGUGGGAAAUAAUUAAUACAAUCUUAAAUAUUUCUAUACUUUUAUUCCUAGGAAAUCAAGUUUGCAAUCAAAACUGGAUAAAAGAUUUUUAACACAGUGAAAAUGUCAUGGGGCUCUAAAAUGGGUCUGCAGAUGUAGAGGGUAUUAAGAUUGCAGUGACCAACCAAUUACUUUUGAAAUUACUAUUAUUAGUAUUCUUUUAGUAUUCUUCAAUUUCUAUUUCUUUGGGUGAAUUGCUCUGAGACUUGUGUUUUAGUUGUGAUGAAGUCUUUACCUUGAAAUUUUUCAGCAAAAGUAUUAGUGAUACGACAGCAUUAAUAUAUAAUACAGCAAUAACUGGGUUAAACUAUAUUGGUAGGUUAGAUAUUGGAUGAGUUCAGGAGUGAUAGGUGCUGUUGUGUCUUGACAAGCAGUACUUGAAUGGUUUUUUUAUCAAAGAUAUUUUUUUUGUGGUUUUCACUUGAAGCUGAAAUGUUGAAUAUCACCUCUCUCUAUUAAUGCAGUUUUCUUCCUCAGUAAGUAAUUGAGUGGGCAGAUAUGAAUGUAGCAUAGAUAAAACAAAAGACUCUGGUUUUAAAGAGACUCAAAUUUAAAAUUAUAUCAACUUUAAAAUCAUAUUGUAAUUACAGCAAUGGUCUAGGUGAUGAGGACUCAAGCUGUGUGUGUAGCAGUCACUUUGAAGGCUCUGGUACCUCAUCUGUACUCCUUUUAGGAUCCAAUCUAGGAUGGUUAAAGUUAGCUUGGAAUUGCAUGUAAUAAAGAUUUGCAUCUUUGGAACAUACCCCAAAUAUUAACUUCAACUUUUGGUAUUCAGUUUUCAGCAUGGGAGAAACAGACUACAUAGAAGUUCUGUUUUUCUCCAAGAAACUGUCAAGAAUUCAAAAUACUCAAACCAGAUUUUUUUUUAAACUCUGUAAAACAAUGUCCUGUUAGGUGAUGAUCUUUAAAAUUUAAUCUGGCUUUUUUUUUUUUUUGUUUAGGGCACUAAUAUUUUUC